GAAACUGGACCUCAAGUUUAUCGGAUGAGUCAGCUCAUCUGUUCUUUACUGCGUAGAUGAUGAUCUCGUCCUAGAAUCAGUCUAGUCGAGGAGUUGUGCAGACUGACUAGAUGACGAUGCACCACCAGAGUGGAGCUGCGCUAUUUGACUCACACGGGAAACUACCAGUCCAGACAUAGUAAGGAUUGACAGAUGAUAGCUCUUUCUGAUUCUAUGGGUGGUGGUGCAUGGCCGUCUUAGUUGGUGGAGUGAUUUGUCUGGUUAAUUCCGAUAACGAACGAGACCUUAACCUGCUAAUUAGUCGUCCCCAUUUUAUGGGGCACGACUUCUUAGAGGGACGUAUGCAUAUCAAGUGCAUGGAAGUUUGAAGGCAAUAGACAGGUCUGUGAUGCCCUUUGUUGUCUUGGGCUGCACGCGUGCUACACUGAUAUAUACAACAAGUGCCUAGCUAGAUAUAGUAUGGCAAUCUCGAAUAUAUAUCGUGAUGGGGAUAGAUCUUUGCAAUUAUAGAUCUUGAACGAGGAAUUCCUAGUAAGUGCAAGUCAUCAUCUUGCAUUGAUUAUGUCCCUGCCCUUUGUACACACCGCCCGUCGCUCCUACCGAUACCGGGUGAUCCGGUGAACCUGUUGGACCCUUUUGGGAAAAAUAAGUAAAUCUAAUCUCCUAGAGUAAUCUAGACGCACCGCUUUUACCGAGCUCGAACCACGGCCGGGUAACGCGUUUUGUGCAG
rnacentral:rRNA from 1 species